UACACUCCUGCGGGAGGCAGCAGUGGGGAAUAUUGCACAAUGGGCGCAAGCCUGAUGCAGCCAUGCCGCGUGUAUGAAGAAGGCCUUCGGGUUGUAAAGUACUUUCAGCGGGGAGGAAGGCGAUAAGGUUAAUAACCUUGUCGAUUGACGUUACCCGCAGAAGAAGCACCGGCUAACUCCGUGCCAGCAGCCGCGGUAAUACGGAGGGUGCAAGCGUUAAUCGGAAUUACUGGGCGUAAAGCGCACGCAGGCGGUCUGUCAAGUCGGAUGUGAAAUCCCCGGGCUCAACCUGGGAACUGCAUUCGAAACUGGCAGGCUAGAGUCUUGUAGAGGGGGGUAGAAUUCCAGGUGUAGCGGUGAAAUGCGUAGAGAUCUGGAGGAAUACCGGUGGCGAAGGCGGCCCCCUGGACAAAGACUGACGCUCAGGUGCGAAAGCGUGGGGAGCAAACAGGAUUAGAAACCCUAGUAGUCCCAUGA
rnacentral:rRNA from 1 species